AAGAAAUUUAAUAAUUUUGAAAAUGGAUUUUUUUUUUUUUGUUUUGGCAAGAGCAUGAGAGCUUUUACUGGGCAAGAAGACAAGAGAUGGAGAGUCCAGCCGGGCCUGCGCUUAAGUGCGCGGUCUUGCUAGGCUUGUAAGUUUCUUUCUUGCUAUUCCAAACGGUGAGAGAUUUCUGUGCUUUUGUUAUAGGACAAUUAAAACCGUUUCAAUACAACACACUGUGGAGUUUUCAUAUCUUUGCAACUUUUUCUUUGGGCAUUCGAGCAAUCGGGGCCCAGAGGUUAACAAACACAAACAAUUUUAUCUAUUCAUUAAAUUUUCGUCAAAAACAAGAAUUUUCGUAACUGGAAAUUUUAAAAUAUUAAAAACUUUCAACAACGGAUCUCUUGGUUCUCGCAUCGAUGAAGAACGCAGCGAAAUGCGAUACGUAAUGUGAAUUGCAGAAUUCCGUGAAUCAUCGAAUCUUUGAACGCACAUUGCGCCCCUUGGUAUUCCAGGGGGCAUGCCUGUUUGAGCGUCAUUUCCUUCUCAAACAUUCUGUUUGGUAGUGAGUGAUACUCUUUGGAGUUAACUUGAAAUUGCUGGCCUUUUCAUUGGAUGUUUUUUUUUUCCAAAGAGAGGUUUCUCUGCGUGCUUGAGGUAUAAUGCAAGUACGGUCGUUUUAGGUUUUACCAACUGCGGCUAAUCUUUUUUAUACUGAGCGUAUUGGAACGUUAUCGAUAAGAAGAGAGCGUCUAGGCGAACAAUGUUCUUAAAGU
rnacentral:misc_RNA from 1 species